UACGGGAGGCAGCAGUGGGGAAUAUUGCACAAUGGGCGCAAGCCUGAUGCAGCCAUGCCGCGUGUAUGAAGAAGGCCUUAGGGUUGUAAAGUACUUUCAUCGGGGAGGAAAAACAAAACUAAUAAUUUUAUUUCUUGACGUUACCCGAAAAAGAAGCACCGGCUAACUCCGUGCCAGCAGCCGCGGUAAUACGGAGGGUGCUAGCGUUAAUCAGAAUUACUGGGCGUAAAGAGCACGUAGGUGGUUUUUUUAAGUUCAGAUGUGAAAUCCCUGGGCUUAACCUGGAACUGCAUUUUGAAACUGAAAUACUAGAGUAUCGUAGAGGGAGGUAGAAUUCUAGGUGUAGCGGUGAAAUGCGUAGAUAUCUGGAGGAAUACCUGUGGCGAAAGCGGCCUCCUAAACGAAUACUGACACUGAGGUGCGAAAGCGUGGGGAGCAAACAGGGAUUAGAUA
rnacentral:rRNA from 1 species